GAUGAACGCUGGCGGCGUGCCUAAUACAUGCAAGUCGAGCGAACAGACGAGGAGUUUGCUCCGCUGACGUGUGCCGCGCACGGGUGUGAAACAUGUGGACAACCCACCUAUAAGACUGGGACAACUUCGAGACAGCGGAGAUAACACCGGAGAAUCUCUUGAACCACAUGGUUAAAUAGUGAAAUACGGCUUUGCUGUUACUUAUAGAUGGAUCCGCGCCGGAUUAGCUAGUUGGUAAGGUAAGGGCCUACCAAGGCGACGAUGCGUAGCCGACCUGAGAGGGUGAUCGGCCACACUGGAACUGAGACACGGUCCAGACUCCUACGGGAGGCAGCAGUGGGGAAUCUUCGGCAAAGGGCGAAAGCCUGACGGAGCAACGCCGCGUGUGUGAUGAAGGUCUUCGGAUCGUAAAGCUCUGUUAUUAGGGAAGAACAAAUGUGUAAGUAACUAGGCGGGUCUUGACGGUACCGGAUCAAAAAGCCACGGCUAACUACGUG
rnacentral:rRNA from 1 species